rnacentral:rRNA from 1 species
UACGAAGGGGGCUAGCGUUGUUCGGAAUUACUGGGCGUAAAGCGCGUGUAGGCGGGUCUUUAAGUCAGGGGUGAAAUGCCAGGGCUCAACCUUGGAACUGCCUUUGAUACUGGAGACCUUGAGUCCGGGAGAGGUGAGUGGAAUUGCGAGUGUAGAGGUGAAAUUCGUAGAUAUUCGCAAGAACACCAGUGGCGAAAGCGGCUCACUGGACCAUAACUGACGCUGAUGCACGAAAGCUGGGGGAGCAAACAGG